rnacentral:rRNA from 1 species
CCUACGGGAGACUGCAGUGAGGAAUAUUGGUCAAUGGGCGCGCGCCUGACCCAGCAAAGCCGCGUGAAGGAAGAAGGCUUUCGGGUUGUAAACUUCUUUUAAGAGGGAAGCGAAGAAGACGGUACCUCUUGAAUAAGACACGGCUAACUACGUGCCAGCAGCCGCGGUCAUACGUAGGUGGCAAGCGUUUACCGGAUUUACUGGGUGUAAAGGGCGUGUAGCCGGGCUGACAAGUCAGAUGUGAAAUCCCGUGGCUCAACCACGGAACUGCAUUUGAAACUGUCGGUCUUGAGUAUCGGAGAGGCAGGCGGAAUGCCUGGUGUAGCGGUGAAAUGCGUAGAUAUUAGGAGGAACACCAGUGGCGAAGGCGGCCUGCUGGACGACAACUGACGGUGAGGCGCGAAAGCGUGGGGAGCAAACAGGAUUAGAUACCCUGGUAGUC